GGCGUUGUGGCUGAAAUGGCAUAGCAAAGUUCUGGCAAGAACCUUUAUAGUGGUUCGAGUCCAUCCGAUGCCU
rnacentral:tRNA from 1 species